rnacentral:lncRNA from 1 species
GGAUUGUGAUGUUACUUUGAUACUAUAUUGCGGUCGUGGUGUUUAGGUAGCAAUACACAGUUAGGAGUUUAGUUUCGCAUUAUGGCCCCUGUGGAUUUUUCAAAUAGGAAAGUUAUUGUGUAAUAAAAUUCAUUUUUAGACAGCUGAGUGCUAAUUUAGCCUUCAAAGAUGGUUUAUAAGAGCAUCAAGAUUAUUUUUUACAUGUUUUAUGGGCUGUUUUCUGUUUGACAAUCCGUAUUUUCAUAGCUAGACCGGCCAUUGGUCCAGAAAUUAGUGUAAUGUUUACAAACACUUUUUUUCUACACGAAGUUUUUG